CCGAAUCGAUUUUGACCGAUUUUAAGAAAACUAAAAUCGAUACCAGACCAAACCAACUUCGAAACCGGACCGUUGCCACCGAUUUGGUCCAGUCCGAUCCGAUUUACCGAUUUAUCGGUUCUUUUUUACACCCCUAAGCCUUCCAUCCCCCUCCAUCCCAGUCGAAACCAUCAUCCCCAUUCCCAACCAUUGUCGUCCCCAAGAACCCAGUGGCUUCUCUGACUGAGCUGGACAACGAAGCCAGUGAUUGGUUGUGGUGAUUCGUCGUGACAAAUUUCUAUACGAAGCCAGUAGCUAUUCGUGUUCUCCACGAAGUCUCCGUGGGUCUUCGUCUUCUCCUCGAACCCAAGAGGCAUGAACCAUGCUCAUGGGUUCCCAAGGGCCAUUAACCCCAUUUGAACCCACGAACCCCUUUCAUCUUGUCCACCCAAAUCGCACCGAAACCCUAGAAAAGCCUCAACGACCUUUCCUCAUGUCUAGUUGUUUUCCUCCCUACCGUUUACUCCUUCCCCUCUCUCCCUCUCUCUGUGUUUCAUGGAGACAAUGAAGACUAGUCAAAACUUCCUUCCCUAUGUGAAUUCUUGCGAGGGGAAGUAGGUUUCUCAAAUGGGUUGCUUUCUUGUUUGCUUUGGUCAUACAAAAGAUGGGAGGAAACAACGAAAAUAGAGCCAGAACAAGUUUCAUCCCCAUGAUGACGUAGGGUAGGGGUGAGUCUGCAAAGGAGUUGAGCUUUAGGGCCAAAAGAAAGUAACAUUUGACUCCAAUGUCAAGACCCAUGAACAUGUUACCUGCAGAGAAGCUCCGGACCUUUUAUUGCAAAGUGAAAUCGGUGGGAAGGGGGAGGAACUUUUUUAGGCUCUUGUAUUAAGGGAGGGGCAUCUUGGAGUGUUGUCAUUAAAAGAUGGCAUUAGUGUUGUGCCAUCAGGUUGGCAUUGGGAUUGUCUGUCCUUGGAGUGUUGGUUUGAUGUGGAGUUUGGGAUUUUAUGUACUUAGAUCCAUGGUCCCCUGAAUAUUAUAAACUUAUUGGGGGAGUAUACUUUUGAUAUGUGUUGAAUUUUGACUACUACUUCAUUAACCUUGUAUUGAUUAAUUUCUAUUGGAGAACCCUUUUUUAA